CCUCGUGCAGAAAGACACCGCCCUUACCGACGACAUGGAGACGCUAUCAUUAAAAUCAGACUUGGAGUCUUCGAUUCAGUCAUUGUCCUCAUGAUUGUCAUAACGGAAUCUCCUCUACCGGAAGCAUAUACGCUGACAUCUGUACAGAUGACGAGACGCUCCGUGUGCCAGAGGACGAGUCGAUGUCCACUUCCUUAGCAGCGCGUCUUGAAGAGUUGUCGUUUGCCGAGGAACGAAUCCUGCAGUCGAUCAAGUUGGAAAGGGACCACGGUGACAGCAUAGGGCUGCAAGUGACAGAGGGUAACGAUGUGGCGUCUAUGUCCAAGCGGUGUCGGUAGGAAGAUCGGCCGAUAUGGUCGGAAACGUGAAUGAAGGCAAUCGCAUCGUAGCGUUAAACGGGCAGAAUUUAUUGCAUUUGCGGUAUGAAGACGCUCUGAAGAUGCUGCAGAGUUCGUUCGAUACGAUCGAACUGGUCCUCUCUCGAGCUACUUUGUAAAACGCGUAAAAACGCGACCUCCAGGAAGAAUCGCGAACAACUUAUAAAGAUGUUCCUUUCCUUGAAUCCUAUGAAGUAAUCAAGUGAAACAUCCCAGUACUCUGUUUCGCUAUGCACUUAAUUCUAACGAGAAUGGAAGCAAAAUUUUGGGUGUGUACUUAAUAGUUUUGAGCAUACACGAGAUAUUAUAAACGGACUGUUGAUUAUUCUUGUGACAUCAGAUUCGGGGUGUCCUCGAAAGCAGAUACGUCGAGCAUGACAAACAAAUGGCUCGUUCAAAGGAUCACCGACGUUGCAUUUGUGCAAAACACCUCGAGCGCGUACAGCAGUGCCGCAUCGAGCGCAAUGGGUAAUCACAAUGCAAACAGCCUAUACAUGGCCGAUCCUGUCAAUAAUAACUUAAGUCCGCAAGUAUGUCAGCAGAACGAGUUGCCAAGUUUUUAUUUAAUCGUCGAUAAAGCAAGAUAGUAUUUACUCUACAAACCCAUUUUUAUCUAACACGUAUGCCACUUUUGUUACUGUGCGCUUAAUGGGUACUUAAUUGCAGUGAAACUAUUUAUAUGCAUAUUAAUCAAGUAGAUGAAACAUCCCCCACAGGGACUAAAACUUCAACAUAAAAACCCUCCUAAGUUGGCGCUCAAGACCUUAUUCUGUUGUAACACUUUGAUCCGUGACUCUGUUGGA